UACGUAGGGUGCGAGCGUUAAUCGGAAUUACUGGGCGUAAAGCGUGCGUAGGUGGUUCGUUAAGUCUGUCGUGAAAGCCCCGGGCUCAACCUGGGAAUGGCGAUGGAUACUGGCGAGCUAGAGUGCGGUAGAGGAGAGUGGAAUUCCCGGUGUAGCAGUGAAAUGCGUAGAGAUCGGGAGGAACAUCAGUUGCGAAGGCGGCUCUCUGGACCAG
rnacentral:rRNA from 1 species